GGAUCUUUGACUUCAAGGAAGAUGAUUCAUCAAGAAGAUUCCGUAUCAGAUACAACGCGGUCAUCUUUGUUACUGAAAUCACAGAGUUUACCAUUAAAAAAUAUAGUGCUAAAUUACAGGAAUUGUAUGAGUAAAAAAAAAUAAAGAGUGCAAUUGCUGAAAUGUCCCUUUUACUUUUCUUCAAAAAAAUUAAUAAUAUAUGCAGUAUUUAAAAGCCCUGUUCUCUUGAAUAAACAAGAAAUGUCAACUAAAGUCGUUGUUUUAACCUUAUCUCAAUCAUGUUCACUGAGACAAUCCAUUAGCUACUGUUAUAUUCUCUCUGAAGAGAAAAUGCAUCUAUUUAUUUGCGAAACUGUUUGUUGAAAUAAAUUGUUGAUGUUACAU
rnacentral:misc_RNA from 1 species